UCCUUCCCUGCAAGCAGACUUUAACACAGUUUGGAUUUGUUUUGCAUUUGUUUUUACACAGUAAUAGGAUAAUAGAUCAUGCAAGGAAUGGUCAGCUGAAAUCUAGAGUUCACAAACUUUGGAAAAUGAUGUGCUGCUCAGUAGAAAGGCAGCCAUGUAUCAGUAUUUGUUGGCUUUUCUUGAGAAGCUUUAGAACAUGAUUCCUUUACUCCAGGGGAAAAACAUGGAAUAAGAUGUCUCCUUCCUUCGAAAGAAUGUUCUGGACUACAUUUCCAGAAUGAUGCUUAAUGUAGAAAGGAAAGUUAGAACAUUCAUGAUAUAUUACUAUACUUCAUUCAUAUCACCUUGAAGAACUAAUAUCAAAGUUUUUUGUUUGGUUUAGUAUUUGUACCUGCCAUGAAUUCCUUUAGAAAUUUACCCCAGAACAGCUAACAAAGUGGUUCUUUUCUGAGAAGGGAGAAAUAAAACAAUAUCUCAUUGACUUUCUGAAAAGAAAAUCUAGUGAAAAAGAAGCCUUGAAAUUUAAAUUACUGAUCCAUAGAGAAUAACAGAUUAAUAAACUCUGAAGUUUUUUCUGAACAUAUAUUUACAACAGUUAUUUAGCAAAGUGCAUUCUUUAAAUAUAUAUAUAUAACCUAUUGUUUUUUCCUAUAUGAAAUUCUCCUUGAUACCUAUAACCACAGAAAGACUAUGAAUGUGAUGAAGAAAGGAGAGAUGAAUGAAAAAUGUUUUAAGCUCUAAAUACAUUCAUCAUAUUCACUGAUGAAAAGACAAAAACACCUGGCAAAAAAAUGGAGGUGCAAAGAUAAGGUUUUGUAGGAGCAAUUCCAACCUGUUCUAUGGCGUUCCGUUUGUACUGAGAUGUUGAAUAAAAUACUGGAGUUCUAUUUGUAAUGAAAGUGUUCUGUGGGAUGGGUAUUCACCAUCGCUGGACAGGGUGCAGCACAGUUAGUCUGGGCACGGUAUACAGCUGCUUUAGAAGCGUGGAGCUCAAGGCCUGUUACAGCAUUUCAGUCUAGUUCAUUGUGUUGCUAAAAAAAAAAAAAAAAUAAAUUCCAACAGUGCAGAGCUCUCUAUAUGUACUAAAACUCAGACAUGCUAGUCCAUAGAAUUUAAGGGGAAGAUAUCAUUUUUAAUAAUUAUUUUUCUGACCAAAGAUUAUUUGGUGUAACUUACUGUUGUGAUGAGUAUCACUCGAGGGUUGUGUUACAUGUUGAAACCUUAGUUGGCUUUCUGUCACUGGUAUGGUCAUCAUACUGAGUUGAAGGAAUGUAGCAUCCUAGUUUUUCCUGUUUCCUGUUUUUCUCAUUACUUUGUGCAUCUAAUGGCAGUUUGGAUUUAGAAAACUUAACCGUUUCUGUUAUAUAGACAGUAAACCAUUUCCCCUUCAUGUUUUUGUUUUGUAGACAUAAAGGAGACAGAAGAGAUUUUUGAAAGAAGUAAAUGGGCAGAUAUGGAAUGCAGGGAGAAGAGAUUUAGUCUGCAGAGUGUUUUUUCCACUGUCUUUUUAUAAUUGUUAAUUUUUAAAUCUCUUCUUUACAAUGUGAAACUUGUGUUUCUCCUGCUCUGUGUCUUUUUCUGUGGUCUGUCUUUUGAGGCACUGUAUCAGUAAUCUCCAAUUGCACAUGCUGCAGUUUUAUCCAACUAAUUGAAAACUUUUCUGGGAAUGUGUAAUACACUGUAAUGUGUUAUUUGCCAUACUUUGGCCAACCAAGCAAAAAGUUCAUCUUCCCUCAACAAAAUAAAUAUGCUUUCAAUACCAAGAGCUGCUACAUGACAAAGCUUUUAAUUUAAUUGCUAGGAAUGAGUUAGAAGGUGGUUACAGCACUAUUUUCAUUUUCAAGGAGUCCUUUGAUUCCUAAAGACAAAUUUAUACUGACUAUAAAUAUCAUUAGAUAAUGAAUAAACUAGAUAUGCACAAAGUUCCCUCAGACCUGUGAUAUCUUUCUGUGGUUUGUUGCUUAUUGCAUCUUUAUGCUUCAAUCCUGUAAUUUGUGUUUUUUAUAGCAUCUAGGGUAAUAAGACUCCAAUUCUGAUCAGUGUUAUAACAUAAAUAAUAAUAAUAGAAGUGCAUUGUUUUAGACAAUAGACAUGAUUUCCAGCAUGGUUAUUUAUUUGCAUAAUCAACACUGUCUCUUUUAGUUUAUUGCUUUUGGUAAAAUCCUGUGGUCAUUAAUUUUGCUUUGAAUUUCAUUGGGAAUUUUGCUUAAUGAGAACAGAUUUUGAUGCAAGGUCAGCUCUCUGAAAGCCAUGCCAUCCCAUGUUUCAUUAUUGUCACAGUGAAUCACAGAGAGAGCAACAUGGAACUCACUUUACUCUGCAUUAAACUUGGCCAUCUCUGGCGCUAAAUUCAACACUGGGGUAACAAAACUCAGCAACUGAACUCAGGGAAAGAUUGAAGAAAGGAUAAUUUAAUUUCUGAAUUUUAG